AAAAUAAAUAUGGAAAUAAAGAUAAAGUUUCUGAAGAAAUUGAAAACCUUUAAUUGUUUAUUUUUGUUGCAAACAAACUAAAAUGUUUAUGUUGCAAUAAAUACCCAAGUAAUGAUGUGUUUUUGUUCAAAUACAACUCAAACAAAAACAAGAAAAUAUAAACAAGUGAUUGAGUGUAAAUGAGUAAAAUAAUUGAUUUGAGAUUUGUUUUUGGGGAGAUAAUCAACAACAAAAGCCAGACAAUAAGAAAAAGAUUUUAGUGUAACUUUAGCAUGCUACAUGACCAAUUGUCUGUCUAAUCAAUCGAUUUCAAAUAAAUUUAUCAUUUAAA